AUUCGCACCUUCAGACUCAGUCAACCAUUGUCAAAGAAAAAGUGUACUGCUCAAGUUUGGAUCUAGGAGGUGCAAUUCCCGAUAAUUUAAGCUUAUACUAAAAAUGCAUAGAACAAAAUAGAAAAGAAUAUUUGUUUUUCUAAAUGACAGGGUCCAUAUUAUCCAUGACAUCCCAUAAAAUCAGAUGCAAUGAUUGAAGUAAUUGAGUCAAUAAUAAGGGGGUCCGCUCGACAGUCCGACAGUUCUUUAGUCCGACGGUUUAAUAGUCCGACAGUUUAAUAGUCCGACAGUUCUAUAGUCCGAUAGUCCGACAUAUACAACAAGAUAUAAUAUAGACUAACCACAGGCACUAGACGUUCUACCUGGCUUUCGACCUAACUUUUCCAAAACUGAAUCCCCGUUAUUGUUUAUGACUUAUUUCACACACCUCCUCCUCCCCCUAACACACCAUUGUUUAGAUAAAUCAAUUUAGACCAACGGCAUAAUAAUUUCAGUAGGUUUGGCAAUCGAGAAAUAGAAAAAACGGAAUUUGGCGACCGGGUGACAUUUUUCAAAAAAAUUAUUUAUAUUGUGUUGUAUUAAGGUAUAUUUGAUUUUUUUUCUGAGACAAGUGCCUGUGCUUCGGUGGUUCCCCUCCGACAACUAUGUCUCCGACCAAGAUAUCCGCCACAGCUGAACUUAGCUAAACAUAGGAUCCUAUGGAAAACUCACAUAAGAUCUUCUUGUCUGGAGCCAGUGGGCCAAUUAGGACGAAACUUUGGUUGAAUGGUACUUAGUUAUAGGUGGUCCACUUCCAAAAUUAUUUCUAACAUCCUCAACCUGCGAACAAAAUAACCGUCACAAUCAGACUUAGUUUAAUACCGGUGGCACACAUAAGUGUAUAACUCCGACGUACGCCGGGCGUGGUAAAAAUCAUGUACUCUGCAAAUAGGCUAGUAAUUUUGGAUGCAUUUAACCUGUCAAUCAUAUCUGGAUCGUGUGCACAACCAUCUUUAAGCGUGUAUUGCAAUUGGACAUAUAUGAAGCGUACCACCUAAGCGUUUAUCGGGCGUUGACAUAUUCCUGGCGUUUGUCUAACGUAGAUGGAAUGCACGCUACAAAGGAAAAAAGUCUCUUGAACGUAUCUGAGACACGUCCCGGUCGUAUCCUGGACGAUUAUCCGUGCUUUCGACGUGUUGUGCGACGUUUAAUUAUUGGGUGUUUGUUAUGCAGGCGUCACACAUUGGCGUAUAGACCAAACAUACAGAGAACAUUGACAAAAUCGGUUUACGUUAGUUUCACGCCAGAGGAACGCUAAGCAAUUGUUAAACGUGCGUUGCAUAAGUUUGAAGUACGUCGAAAUAAAAAGGUAUAUGCUUGGUGAACGCUACCACUCCAGGAAAUUUUUAUGCUGCAUAAAAAUUUUCAUCAAGCUCAAUCGUGUGUCUAGCAUGUACCUACACGCAAGUUAUACAUACGCUACAAGCGCGUUGAAAACACUACAGAUAUGUUUGAGACACGUUUAGGGCAAGUUGUAUACGCUUCAAGAUUGUUCGACUGUACCUAAAACGUAUGCGGCCAACAAACACCCUAUAAUAGAACGUCCAAGAUAAGACCGGGACUCGUCUCUAAUACGGUCGAGGGACGUUUUUUUUCCUUCGUUGGAGCUAUACGCUGAUGCGUGACGCCGGCAUUACAUAUUUCAUUGUCUGAAACAACUUAGCAAAAUGGAACCAUACUUGGCAGCAAUGGUCCUUGGGUGGUCCUGUUUCAGUAUUGAGUCCAAUGAUCCAGACUGCCGACCAAGAUAGCUGCCACAGUGAACUUAGUAAUAUUGGACCCUUUAGGAAAUAACUUAGACAUUUUGAAGUCUGAAACCAAAGAGCCAAUUUUAACACUGGCUUACAAAUAAUGACUUGGAAAUCUAAGAAACAACCAUCUUAAAAAUGAAAUAGUGCAGCAUUUGUAAGCUAGGGGGCAGCACUAGUCAGUCAAAUGAGUACUGUGACCAGAACUGAGUUACGGAGGCCUAAAAAAAAGACCCACACAAGUGACCUGAAGUCAUGUUCAACUUUUCCUCCAGUUGGUAGGUAGGAUCUUUUUACUUUUAAAUCAGUUCAUGAUACUUUCAUCAUAUAUGCACAGUACUCAAAUCCGGUACAUGACUUUCGACUUACCGGGCCACGUCCACUUGUAUUUUUGUCCAUCUGAUGAGUUAAGCCUUUUUCAACUGAUUUUUGUAAUUCGUUCUUAUGUUGUACUGUUAUUAAAACCACUGUCCCAGGUUAGGGGAGGGUUGGGAUCCCGCUAACAUGUUUAAACCCGCCACAUUAUUUAUGUAUGUGCCUGUCCCAAGUCAGGAGCCUGUAAUUCAGUGGUUGUCGUUUGUUUAUGUGUUACAUAUUUGUUUUUCGUUCAUUUUUUUACAUAAAUAAGGCUGUUAGUUUUCUCGUUUGAAUUGUUUUACAUUGUCUUAUCGGGGCCUUUUAUAGCUGACUAUGCGGUAUGGGCUAUGCUCAUUGUUGAAGGCUGUAUGGUGACCUAUAGUUGUUAAUGUCUGUGUCAUUUUGAUCUUUUGUGGAUAGUUGUCUCAUUGGCAAUCAUACCACAUCUUCUUUUUUAUAAUACAUACCUAUGAAGUAAAAAUACCCCUUAACUGUCAAGACUAUUGAGCCGUCGAACUAUUGAACUGUCGGAUCAUCGAACCGUCAGACUAUCAAACUGUCGGACCAUCGAACUGUCGGACUAUCACUAGGGCCCCAAUAAUAAGACAUUACAAUAUAGUAUUGAUAUGACCAUAAGCCUUUGUUAAAUCAGAGACAAAACAAAAAAUUAUGAAGAUAUUAGAUUGGUGGUGGUUCCAGAGGUUAGAACACCCCUUUGUUUUGGACGAUCAAUGCAUUUGAAUGGGGACAUGUGGUUGGAACCCCCUUCUUAAAAUGGCUGGAUCCGCGCCUGAGUGGGUUAAAAUUUCACGAUUUUCAGUAAAUAAGGCAUACAAAAUAUUUUGGCAUAUUCAAAACUUCUAUGAAUACCUUUGCAUGUACACUUUUAAAUUGGUGGAAUUUAUUUUAUAAAAUAAGCGAAAAUAAUACGCUAUACGGUAUUACCUACCCUGUAAACACUGGGAACUAGAUCUUCUCAAUGUUUGUCCCAUUUUAGCAAAGAUGCUAUUAAUUAUGGAUUCACUGAAAAACACACUGGUCAAUAGUUAGAAUAGAAAUAAAGUGGGAAAAAAACAAAACUUCCACUCAAUGUUAUCCUUUUUCUCUUUAAGUAGCCAGCAACGAGUACAUCAGGCUAUAGAAGCUUGGUGUAAAACAGAGGCGGAUUUAGGGGGGGGGGGGGGUAAAAAAUUGGUUGCUUAUAUACCAGGUAGCUAGGGAAUCAUUGAAGCGUGACUGGAGCUCUCUUAGGUCAGUCAGUGGGCCCCCACUUAUGAAAAUUUCUGGAUCCGCCACUGUAAAAUUGGUUUACAAUAUUGCUAUGCCAAUAAAUUCCUGAAUUACCAACUUCAACUAAUUUUUUACUAUCUGUAUACCUCUCUGGAACAUGCUAAUUUUACAUCUUGAUAAGAGAAAGUCGGAAAUAAAUUUGCAAGGAAUUGUUUGAUAUGCAGCAAAGAUUGGCACUUUUGAAAAAUUUUAAGUUACUAAGCAAAAUCAAACACAGCUUAUCUUGAUUUAAACAUUGAAUGUCAAUAGAUUUGAGAAGUCCACAAAUACUUACUUAAAUAAAAUUUGAGAUGAGCUUUUCUUAAACUCUUAUUCAAAAUAGUAAAAAGAUAAGCAUAGUUUGGGAAAAUGUAACAUGCUAAAGUAAGGGAUUUUUUAGAACACUCAGAAAAAUGGUGACCUGAAAGAACUUGAUUUUGUAUGUAGAUGAUUUUUCCAUUUUUUUUCUCAAUAUUGAGCAAAGAUUUGCAGUUUUUAAAUUUCAGUUUUUCAAGCUUUUAAAGCAAUUAUCUCGAUAAAUACUGAACAUAAAACAUCUUAUAUUUACAUGUUUAUUUCUUAAAACUCUUUAAGGGGGUUCGCGGGUCUAAAUCAUUUAUAUAGGAUUUCUCUAUAUUUUUCUAUAAAUGAACUUUAUCUUAUAGUUAAUAGAAAAAUAAAAUAAAAAAGUGGGGUCACCGUUCAUUUGCGCUCACAAUCUGUCUUCUAAAGAAGCAUACAUUUUUGUAAAGGCGUUUUUUUUCUGUUGAAGUAAUAGGAGAAAUAAUGGUAAUAUCGAAAUAAAAAAAAAGAAAUUUAUUACAGAAAUCGCUAAAAUUUUACAAUAAUUUAGUUUAAGUACAGCUUAUAUGGAAAUUAUAUUAAAAAAGAUAGGUCACCGAUGAGUUGAAAAAGAUAUUUCAAUUUUAGAGCCAAAAAAUGGCAUUUUUCCACCAAAGGGAGAUAAUUUGGAACUUUUUCAAUGAUAUAUACAUUUUGAAAGUCAUCUGGGGCCAACACGAAUUGAUUGUUUUGAAUGAUUUGUGUACCAUAUGAUAAAGUAACAACUACAAAAGGAAAUAAAUAAAAUUUGUAAUGAAAAAGAAAUGUUUGAUUUUUUUCUGAAAUUUGUAUACCCUCGAGCCUCCUUAAAAUGUAUAAUUAUCAUUUAGUAUCUUCACUGGUAUUCUAUUAUUAUUGACUUUCUUUACUCUAUAAUAAGAAGAGUGAGUUUUCCUUUGUUUUCGUUCACCGUCAAUCCCACUGCAUAUGUACUCCAUGAAUAAUUAUGUAUCCAAAGUAAAAUAAAAUAAUUUUGAGUUAUCUCCCUUUAUAAGGCAAUUUUAAUUUUGAAAUGAACCCAUCUAGAUUUGAUUUCUAAAUUCUUGCAAUUCAAAAGAAAUAAACUUCUUACAGAUAGGUGAUUUGGUUUUAAAUGUAUAACACAAUUAUUAUGAUAAAAUCAGUGUGCUGGUUUUGUGGUUUAUUUAGUAAUACUUAUAAAGAAAACUGCACAAUUAAUUAAUGCACCAAGGUAUUAUUCUAUAAAUGAUUAUAAAUGUUCUUGUAUUUUUUUUCCCUUUUGAAUGUAUAUACAUGUAUAAUGCCUUUUAUUUCUAUUGCAGUAAACAAAUACCAUGUUAAUCAUGUUAUGAAACAGUAACUUAGAUGUGACUGCAUAAAGGUAAGAGUACUGUCUUAGUAUGUUUAGAAAAAACAACUUUUAAAAUCUACAGAAUUUAGGGAAAAAAAGCAAUUUUAUGGAGGCAAUUUUUUUUGUUAUAUAUAAAGUGUAUACAGACGACUGUAAAAAUGUGCCAUUUGAUGAUUUUAGUUCUCUGUUUUGUAACAUAAUAAAAACCCAUGUUAUCAUAAGAAAGUUUGAUGCAUAUUUAUGGCAUUAAUGUUAGAGAAUAAAUCAUCAACAUUUAAAAGAAAAAGUUGACAAGACAUAACUUAAUGGCUUAUAGUGUCAAAUUAUUUGAAAAAAAAAACAAAUAUUUGGUCUUAAAAAAAUAGCAUGUCAGACUUUUUUCACAGUAACACUAUAAAAUAAGGAGAUAUGGCAUGAUCGCCAAUGAGAAGUAUCCAAGACUAAAAAGAUUGAAAAAAAAGUUUUAUGUUUAAUGUCAAUACAAACUAACUGUGACCUGAUUGAACUCUUUCAGUUCAAAGAUACAUUGUUCAAGGAAAUAAAUUAGUCUAACACUGUAUUGACCUCUUAAAUUCAUUGUGCACCCUGUUCAAAGAAAUAUUUUAUUGGAAUUAUAUUGACAGAUUUAUACAUUUCUCUUUGAGUUUGAUGUAAUUAAUACAUUAUUUUAAAUUACUAAUGAAAAUCCAGUGACCUUAAAAGUCUAAAAUUUAUAAGACAAGUAUUAUAAGUGGAGUAGACAGGCUAAAAAUAUUUGUAUCUAAAGGAAAUUGACUCUAUAACCUCCUUAUUUAAAUUGUGCAUGAAAGGGAAUAAAGGUCCUUCAAAUGCAUGUGAUUCAUAAAGAGAUAUAUUUUGAGGGUGCAAUGAAAUGACCAUUUACUGAAUUUGUUUCUGCCAAAAGUGUGAUCAAUAUAUAUAUUGAAAGAAAGAAGAAUUAUUCAUAAACAUUCUCAACCCGGGAUUAAAUGAUAAAUAAUAUUCGUAUUUUAACGUUACAUUUUAAAGACUUAAAAUGACAUUAGUAGACUCCCUUGUAUCCUUGUAUUUGUUAACAUCAUGCUAUUGUUAACAUCAAUCAAUUGUUUUAUAUACAAGUCACAUUAGGCCACACCAAUUUGAUCCCUUGUUCGACGGACCGGCCCGCACCUAUUUUUUUCAAAACAGAUUUUUUUAUUUUUUUUAUAUUCCCGCUUCCCACAUCCGGAAUUGUAAUCAUGUCCAUUUCCCGCACCGUUUUUUUUUUUAAAUAUUAUAAAAAGAUAUCAACAUUUGUUAAAUCACAGUCUAACCUGUAUAUAACGAUUUUAAACAUAAAAACACCCCACCACACUGUGUAAAUAUCUGUGAGAAAUAUUUGUUUCAGCUGAAACUGGAGUGCUCGAUAAAAAAGUUAUAACAGUGGGUAUUUCCGUGAAGAACAAAAAAUUGGUUUCUUUCCCCCUUACUUAUAUUCCCUAUCAAAACAUGUUCGUUGUUAGAAUAAUAAAGUACAAAGAACUUCUGGAGGAUUUGCCUUCAACUGCAAUUAUAUUGUAUGCUGCGAAACAAAACUAUCCAUAGCCGUGCAUUUUAUUGCACCUGUCCUGAUUGAUUCAGGAGCAUGUCGUUCAGCUUAUCGUUUGUUGAUGUUGUUCAUUGGUAUUUUUCCCGUUUGGAAUAUAAUAAAUUAGAUCGUUGGUUUUUCCUGUUCGAAUUGUGUACGCUAAUAAAUUUGGGGUCCUUUAUAGCUUGCCGUUUGGUCUGUAUCAAAGCUCUGUGUAAAAGGCCGUACUUUGACCUGUGUUUGUUAUUAUCCGGUUGAGAACAACCCUCCCUCAGACAAGGGGUCAUUUUACUGAUGUAGAAAAGAAAAUAGAAAUACCAAGGAUUUGUAAAGUUCUUCUAUACAAAACCUUUGAACACUUAGAAUUUUGUACUCAAAAAGAGGAGAGUUGCAUCAUAUUUUAAACAAAUUUUUCUAAAAGAGGGGUCCACUUAUUUUGAAUAAUAUUAAACUGUUAAAAGUAAAUGUGUUAACAUGGUUAAAGUCCAGGAAUAUUACUAAAUUCUUGGACAUGUUUUGACCAUUUAAUACCAGAUAGAUAUAUAGUUCCUAUGAGAAAAAUAUGAGCCCUUUUGUACAAACAAAUAUAUUAUAACUUAUAAUGAUCCCUUAUAAAACAUGUAAAAGGGAUAUUUAUAACACUUAUUAUGAUUUGGAUGGAGAAUUGUCUCAUUGUCAGUCACACAUACAUAGACCAGAUUUAAUUAUUUCUUGGUGAACAGGGAAAAAAUACUUGAGAAAUUAAAGAAAUGUCAAAGUACAAGUGAUAAAUCAAGUUUUAAUAUUGUCAAAACCUAUUAUUUUAUGUUUACAAAAAAAAAUUAUAAUCGCUCGCCUUUACUUUCAAGCUUCCCCUCAAAAAUUUGCAAAUUAAAUGUUUUUUUAUUAAAAUUUUCAAAUUGCUCGCUCGCCCAAAAUUUUGGAGUCCAAAAAUCCGUAGAACAAGAAAUUAAAUUGGUGUGGCCUUACCUGAUAUAUUUCUCAUGAACUUUUCGAGUCUAUAAUAUUGGAGAGUUCCCAUUGUUGAUGAUGCACAUAGACUGAGAUUGAAACCGUUAUUAUCUUUAUCUUUUAAUAAUUUUCUUAUAUGUUACCAGCAUACGGACUUUACUUAACUUUUUCUUUAUAUAUAUAUAUAUAUAUAUAUAUAUAUAUAUAUAUAUAUAUAUAUAUAUAUAUAUAUAUAUAUAUAUAUAUAUAUAUAUAUAUAUAUAUAUUGAGAGCCCAGGUGGUCGUGUGGUCUACCGGGACGGCUGCAGUGCAGGCGAUUUGGUGUCACGAUAUCACAGUAGCAUGGGUUCGAAUCCCGGCGAGGGAAGAACCAAAAUUUGCGAAAGCAAAUUUUACAAGAUCUAACAUUGUUGGGUUGAUGUUUAGACGAGGUAUAUAUAUAUAUAUAUAUAUAUAUAAACGAGUCUAAAUUGAAAAUUACGUUCAAACCUAUGAUUGCGUUGGAUAAAAACCGCUAUUUUUAUACGUGUGCAUGUAAAACAAAUUUCGUUGUAGAAGGGUCUAAAAACAGCACAAACAACAUUUUCCAAAAGACCAACAAAGUGAAAAAGUAUAUUUAAACAAAACGCAUUUGACUAACAGGUCGAACAACUGAUGUUCUUUAACCCUGCUCAGUGACUGCCAUUGGUGAUUGCCAAAUAAAAUUGAUCACAAGAUGUAACAAAAUGGAUCUUAAUAUUAAAUUUAAUUACUAAACAGAAAAAAAAUUAACUUGUGGCCACGAUGUUAUGCCACAAACAUACGGUUUCAAUAUUUUUUUAGUACACCAGAUCCGGAUAUAUAUAUAUAUAUACAUGCAGUGGUCUUAAUUUAGCAUGUUUUAAUUUACUACAAAUGUAUAUAACAAUUAUGCAAUUGUUAGAUACUUGUAAAGUGUCCAAUGUUAGUGAAAAUAUUUUUGUCUAGUUUAUCACAGCUUUCAAUACAUUAAAUAUUGACUUUUAAGGGGAAAUAACUCCUAAUCAUUUUAGCUUUCUCUUUUAUCUUAAAUUGCUAUCUAAGCUGAAAAAGUAUCAAGUAGUUCAUUAUUUUUGCAUUAUUUUGAUUUACUCCAAAUGUAUAUAACAGUUAGGUAAUUUUAACAUACUUUUAGAAUGUCCACCCUUGAUUAAAAUUUAUUUUGAUUGUAUUUCACAGCUUUUAAUACAUUAAAUAUUGACAUUUAAGGGGGAAUAACUCUAAAACCAAUUCUAUUCUUCUCUUUAAUCUUAAAUAGCUAGCUAAGCUGAAAUAGUAUCAAGUAGUUCAUUAUGUUUGAAAGUAAGAUCAGCACAUUAACAAGUCCACUUUUGUUUUAUUAUGUUCUUUGUUUAAAUUCUGAUCAAGUGAAUUAACUUUCCAUUCAAAUAUGUGUAGUGUUAUAAUAAGGUAUUUUACCCUUCAUUGGUCCUAUUGUGCUGUCGGCAAACUUUUAUCAAUAGUCAUUUAAUUCGGGAUCAUGUGAAAAAUUAGCUCAAUAUCAGAUCACCAUAAGAAUUAUGGACUUACUGACUUACCAAUUAAUCAUUGUGGAAUGAGGAUUUUUAUUUACCAACGUUAGGAUUUAUGAUCGAAAUUUGUUUACUUUAAUAUGCUUUACAAGAAUUUCUGUCAAAUAAAUAGUGAUAAAUAUUUCCCAAGGAUAAAGAUUCCAUCAAAUUAAUAGACAAAAGUGAAUUGAAUAGACUACAGCAAAUCUCAUGUUACUAGUUAAUUGUCUUUCAGAUUUGUUUUUUCUCAACACUUAUGUGCUUAUACUAGAUGGAGAUUUUAAUAAAUUUUAUUUCAAAUUAGGAUUUUGGAAAUGAAAAGAUUAGAAUGACUUCAGAAGAAGUUGAAAACAGACAUGAAGAAGAGGAAGACCUUGAUAGAGAAAG
rnacentral:lncRNA from 1 species